UCAGCUCUGGCUUCAGAGUGUGUGUGUGUGCAAGUGUGUACGUGUGUGCUGAAGUGUGUGUCAUGCUGCAUCUAGGUGCUCCUGGAUAGGUAGUGAGCUCCCAUUGUGUGUGCGGGGCAAACCAGCCGAGGGGCAGAGGGGCCUCUAGAACAUUCUGCUUUCAGGCCAGAUGUGUUAGUGGUGGCCUACCACCACAACCUCAUGAGGAUGGGGCAAGAGGGUUGCUAGUUGGAGACCAGCCUGGAGACUAGAAACUGGCAUACAUUUGUAUUUGGUUGGAGGCCUCUGAGUGUGUUUAGUGGGGCGAUCCUUCCCCUGUGGGUGUCCACACUCUAGGGCCCAAAUAUGCUCUUGGGAGCACAUCUAGGGUCAAGCAAGGCUGCAGAGCUCAGACUGACUGGGAGUGGAGUAUGUGUGUAUGUGGGGGGAGGGCGUGUGUGUGUGUGUGUGUGCGUGCCUAUAGUGUUCCUAGGAAUGCCCUACCCCUCCGCAGCCCUGUGCUGUGUCUAGCCUCUUGCCCUCUAAGCAUCCAGGCAGCCUGAGGCUGUGGCCUGCCUCUCCAGUCCUCACCCUUCUCCAUCACCAAGUGGCUGCCUUCCUGCAAGAGUUUCAGGAACGCCCGCAGCAGGAUCUGCAGGCACACAGGGAAGUCCCUCCUGCUGUCUACCCUUCAGCCCCUCCCAGAUGGAUCUCUAGGAUGACCCGCCACCCUGCUGGAACCUCACCAGAAGGUUGCCCACCUGUCUUGGGUCACACCACCUGGAAGCGCCACUGAGGAAGAACAGUCCUCCAGAUCGCCCAGCUGACAGCCCUGCCCAGGCAGAGACCACGCCCACCAUAAGUCACACCCGCUUAAAGCAAGCCACAGCAAGGCUUGUAGCCUAGGAACCAUACUCACCUGGAAACUGUGGAACUGUGGCCGCCCCCUUUACUUGGACAUAGAUUGAGACAUUUGAGGGCCAUGCCUUCUGGGUGCCACGCCCCCAGGCUCUCCAUGCAGCUGGCUGCUGCUUCGAAAUGGCGGCCUUCUGUUUCACUCAGAUGCUAGCUGAGGGCUGGUUGUGGCCAAGAAACCAGGUUCCCAGCUCAAAUACUUUUUGUUUGUUUGUUUGUUUUUCUUUUGCUUUUUUUGAGAUAGGAUUUCCCUGUGUUGUCCUGGCUGUUCUGGAACCCUCUCUGUAGCCCAGACAGGCCUUAAACUCACAGGGAUCCGUCUGCCUCUGCCUCUGGAGUGCUGUUAUUAAAGGCGUGUGCCACUGCCUGGCUCCAGCACAAAUUCUUUUAGAUUAUUUAUUUUUAUUUCA